GAAGAAGAUUGGAAGAAAUUUAAAGACUAUCUACAGAAAUACUAUAAAAUUAAUGAAUGUUAAAUUGAGGUCUGAUUGAAAAUAACUGGUAUUGGCAAAAGCCUUGUGAUUAAGAGCAUGGAAUAUUUGAUCGAUAAAGUUGUAAUAUUUAUAUAUAAAUAGAUUAACUUUUUUGAGUUAAGAUAAAGAAAGGAGGGUAAGGAUUUGCUGAAAGGAGUUCUUAAAUGGAAAUACAAGCGGGGAGAUGUGGGGAAGUCAAAGAAUUAGGUAAUGAUAAGAAGGUUAAAUGAAAGUAUAAUACUUUUUAAAUUUUUCUGUUUCUUUUUCUUUUUUUCUUUUUUCUUUUUUUGUUAUGGAUAUUGUUAUCUCUGUUUGCUUUUUGUUAUUGUUAUUGUUGUUUUCUGUUUGUCGAAUUUUUGUAUUUUUGCAUCUUUUGGAAUUUUUUUUGUAAAACCAAUAAAUAUUAU
rnacentral:lncRNA from 1 species